CGAUGAGUAGGGCGGGACACGUGGUAUCCUGUCUGAAUAUGGGGGGACCAUCCUCCAAGGCUAAAUACUCCUGACUGACCGAUAGUGAACCAGUACCGUGAGGGAAAGGCGAAAAGAACCCCGGCGAGGGGAGUGAAAAAGAACCUGAAACCGUGUACGUACAAGCAGUGGGAGCACGCUUAGGCGUGUGACUGCGUACCUUUUGUAUAAUGGGUCAGCGACUUAUAUUCUGUAGCAAGGUUAACCGAAUAGGGGAGCCGAAGGGAAACCGAGUCUUAACUGGGCGUUAAGUUGCAGGGUAUAGACCCGAAACCCGGUGAUCUAGCCAUGGGCAGGUUGAAGGUUGGGUAACACUAACUGGAGGACCGAACCGACUAAUGUUGAAAAAUUAGCGGAUGACUUGUGGCUGGGGGUGAAAGGCCAAUCAAACCGGGAGAUAGCUGGUUCUCCCCGAAAGCUAUUUAGGUAGCGCCUCGUGAAUUCAUCUCCGGGGGUAGAGCACUGUUUCGGCAAGGGGGUCAUCCCGACUUACCAACCCGAUGCAAACUGCGAAUACCGGAGAAUGUUAUCACGGGAGACACACGGCGGGUGCUAACGUCCGUCGUGAAGAGGGAAACAACCCAGACCGCCAGCUAAGGUCCCAAAGUCAUGGUUAAGUGGGAAACGAUGUGGGAAGGCCCAGACAGCCAGGAUGUUGGCUUAGAAGCAGCCAUCAUUUAAAGAAAGCGUAAUAGCUCACUGGUCGAGUCGGCCUGCGCGGAAGAUGUAACGGGGCUAAACCAUG
rnacentral:rRNA from 1 species